UUUUUCUCUUUUUUCUCGGUAGAAGCGGAUGUUUCUACACACUUUUUCUUUUUAUCAUCUUUCUUUUCCCUGCACUUGCCAUUUUUCAACAACAUUUUUUUAUUCUACGGAUGAAUACCCCAAACUUAUCUUUUUGUACAAGUUUUACAUUACACAGUCAUGCCAAUCUAGGGUAGGGAAUGUAUGGCUAAGGGUUAACAUGAUGGUUUACACAAACAAAG
rnacentral:lncRNA from 1 species